GCGAUUACUAGCGAUUCCAACUUCAUGGAGUCGGGUUGCAGACUCCAAUCCGAACUGAGACUGUCUUUCAGAGAUUCGCUUCAUGUCGCCAUGUCGCUGCUCGUUGUAACAGCCAUUGUAGUACGUGUGUAGCCCAGGCCAUAAGGGGCAUGAUGAUUUGACGUCAUCCCCACCUUCCUCCGGUUUAUCACCGGCAGUCUCUCCAGAGUCCCUAACUUAAUAUUGGUAACUGAAGACAAGGGUUGCGCUCGUUGCGGGACUUAACCCAACAUCUCACGACACGAGCUGACGACAACCAUGCACCACCUGUCACCUUGAUAACCUCUAUACUAUCUCUAGUACUUCGCAAGGGAUGUCAAGGCCUGGUAAGGUUCUUCGCGUUGCGUCGAAUUAAACCACAUACUCCACCGCUUGUGCGGGCCCCCGUCAAUUCCUUUAUGUUUCACACUUGCGUGCAUACUCCACAGGCGGAAUGCUUAUCGCGUUAGUUACGGCACCGAGUCACCCCGAUACCCAGCAUUCAUCGUUUACAGCGUGGACUACUAGGGUAUCUAAUCCUAUUUGCUCCCCACGCUUUCGUGCCUGAGCGUCAGUCUCUGUCUAGGAAGCCGCCUUCGCCUCUGGGGGUUCCUCCAUAUAUCUACGCAUUUUAACCGCUACCCCAUGGAAUUCCAC
rnacentral:rRNA from 1 species